rnacentral:tRNA from 1 species
GUGGGUAUAGCUCAGUGGUAGAGCACAUGCUUAGCAUGCAUGAGGAGUCCUGGGUUCAAUUACCAGGGCCUCCA